GCGCCACUCAGGCGGAGCGGAAGAAGACGCGCGCGGAGUUGACGUCAGUUCCUGUCCCGCGCGGUCGUCUCCCACCCGCGCUCCGCCCACGGGUUGAUCCAGUCUCAGUGACAUCACAGUCCUCCUUUCUCAACCCUCCGACCGUUGAGAUUACAGGCUUGUGCCACCAAGUACAGCUAAGGCUGUGUAACUCUGGUUGGCUUCAAACUUAGAAAUCCACCCGUCUGCCUACUGAAAACUAGGUUGAAGCCCAUGCACUGCCACAUCUGACAAGCCACUGUUUUGAGAAGACAUGUGACACAGCAAUGGACAACUGAUCCAAAGGACUUGGUAUUUUAUUGGCUCAGGAGCAGGAAGUAAGACUCAUGUUGAAUUCCAGGUUUCUAACUUGAACAAUAGGCAACUGUGAUGCCAUUUUGUGAGGUCAAGUUGGAUGAGGAACUCAGAGCAGGGUUCAGGGUUUGGGUUGGUAGUGUUUGCUAGGCUCUGUGUUGUUCAUACUAAUAGAACUAAAAACCAUCCCAGGAUUAAGCAAUUGCUUCUCCUACCCUAGAAUUCAACAGUCAGGUCUUGGGAUAGAUUUUAUUGGGGGUGGGAGGUUCGUGGGGUUCUAGCAGAUAGAGCCAUAGGAUUGAACAAAGUUGCCUAUGGCAAAGAGGAGGAAAUGGCUGAGGACUGAGGCAUGAGAAGGUGAAUAAAAUCGUCAAAGAGCCUGAGACAUAGUCAGAAAAAGACCCAAAAGUGAGUUUACCCAAUGGUAAACACUAGAGUGGUUCUAGUUCCUGGAGAAAGUACUGUUAACUACUGCUGAGAAAUCAAAUAUGAAUAGAAGUGUGUUCCAGAUUAGGCUUGCAUAGGCUAUCAAGUGUUCUUGACAAAGGACACUUUUUCAGGAGAGCUGUGAGGAGAACUACAGAGGGAUUGGGACUGGAGGUCAAUGCAUAAAAUCAACUCGCGUAAACCUUUGGCCAUCAGGACUAGUGCUGGAACCGGAUGUAGUGCUGUACGCUUGCAAACCCUUCAAAGUCGGAGGAAUGUUGUGAGUUUAAGGCCAGCCUGAUCUUGUCUCAAUAAAAUAGGAUCCGAAAUGAUA